rnacentral:rRNA from 1 species
AUACGUAGGGGGCAAGCGUUAUCCGGAAUUAUUGGGCGUAAAGAGUGCGUAGGUGGUUUUGUAAGCGCGGGGUGAAAGGCAAUGGCUCAACUAUUGUAAGCCCUGCGAACUGUGAGACUUGAGUGCAGGAGAGGAAAGCGGAAUUCCUAGUGUAGCGGUGAAAUGCGUAGAUAUUAGGAGGAACACCAGUGGCGAAGGCGGCUUUCUGGACUGUAACUGACACUGAGGCACGAAAGCGUGGGGAGCAAACAGGAUUAGAUACCCUGGUAGUCCACGCCGUAAACGAUGAGCACUAGGUGUCGGGGCCGCAAGGUUUCGGUGCCGCAGUUAACGCAUUAAGUGCUCCGCCUGGGGAGUACGCACGCAAGUGUGAA